rnacentral:rRNA from 1 species
AUACGUAGGGGGCGAGCGUUGUCCGGAAUGAUUGGGCGUAAAGGGCGCGUAGGCGGCCCGGUAAGUCUGGAGUGAAAGUCCUGUUUUUAAGAUGGGAAUUGCUUUGGAUACUGUCGGGCUUGAGUGCAGGAGAGGUAAGUGGAAUUCCCAGUGUAGCGGUGAAAUGCGUAGAGAUUGGGAGGAACACCAGUGGCGAAGGCGACUUACUGGACGGUAACUGACGCUGAGGCGCGCAAGUGUGGGGAGCAAACAGGAUUAGACACCCUGGUAGUCCACACUGUAAACGAUGAAUGCUAGGUGUAGGGGGUAUCGACCCCUUCUGUGCCGCAGUCAACACAAUAAGCAUUCCGCCUGGGGAGUACGGCCGCAAGGUUGAAACUCAAAGGAAUUGACGGGG